rnacentral:rRNA from 1 species
AUGGCCACCGGAGUCGCGCAAGAGCCGGAGGAGGAGGAGACCGCCAUGGACACCGAAGUCGCGCAAGAGCCGGAGGAGGAGACCGCCAUGGACACCGGAGCCGUACCAGAUCCGGAGGAGGGGACCGUCGUCAUCCUCGAUUCGGUGAUGCUGGAUCGCAUCGGCCGCACCCACUGCCACAACGGCCUAGGCGCUGCUCGCAAGGCUGUCAAGGGGAACAAGACCGCCGUUCAAGUCGACAUGGACAGCGGCCGCUCCUUCUACGUCUCCUUCACCCUCGCGGCUCCUCCACAAGGGGGGGCCUCCUACCUCGAUCUCCACUGGCCGGAAAGCUCAGCCAAAUCCGUGCCCCCCUUCGCGCAGCCCGCCUAUCCCUACGUCAGGGCAAUCGACAAGGACCUCGUCCUCUUCCACGUCUCCAUCCCGAGCCAGACUCGCCACUGCGCCUUCACGACACAUCUGUUCGUCUACACCGCCGCCGGUCAUUCCCCCUCGGUGCAGCAGCUCCCUCUGUACCAUGAUGACAGGAGGAUAAUGCCGUUCCUGGGGGAUAAGUCCACCACAGGCAUCCUGCGGCGCCAAGAAGGCCGCUACAUCGUUGCCGACCUCAACCUCUACGGGAAAGAAAAUGCCACAGGCAAUUAUUACAUGUGUGCCGAACUCUGCAUCUUCAACUCCAACUCCAGGUCACGGAUGUGGAGGCUCUCUAUCCAGGAUGCCCCAAAGCCGCAGGACCAGAGCAAUGGCCAGUUCCCCACCCUCUGGUCAACCGAUCAUGUGCUCGCUCUUGAUGGCCGUUUCAUGUGCUGGGUUGACUACUUCAGCGGCGUCCUGCUAUCUGACUUCUGUAAUAUGCGCUUAUCUCGGGUGCUCCACUUCGUGCCUUUCCCUGGAGAAGAAGAGUACACUGCAGAGGUACGUGAGGAAAGGUGCUUCGCGCAGAGAUUCCGUAGUGUGUCCAUCAGCCAAGGCAAGAUGCGCUUCGUCCACAUUGACAAUGACUUGCACACCGAGUUACACACUGGCUGCCAAGGGCAGCGGCCUAGCCAAAAAAUCACCAUUUGGACUUUGAACAUGAUGGAUGCUAACUCCAGGUUCAAGUGGGAGCCACAUCAUGUGAUCGACCUGGAUCGUCUUUGGCUGACACCUAGUGUACCUCGGCGUCUUCCUGAGUAUCCAAUCAUCGCCCCCAAUAACCCGGAUGUUCUGUACUGCCUGUUAAGGAAGCAGGAAUUUCAUGGUGAGGCCUCCAUGAUCAUGGUUGACAUGAACCCUGCAUCUCCGUGGUUGUGUACUCCAUAUAUCAAUCGGCGGUCUGUGCAUGUGAAAGAUCACAAAAGCGAGUUUCCUAAUAUGCCCCUCCUUCCAACUGUCUUCUUCAAAUACCUUGAAAGUUCAACAGGGAUGCCAUGGGACAAUGACAAGUUUGCAACUCGUCCUUCAAAGAAAUUAAGGUCUGCAACGUGUGAAGACCUGGAGUCUGGUGACUGGUGUUGA